CCCUUAGAUGUCCUGGGCCGCACGCGCGCUACACUGACAUGUUCAACAAGCCUCCUAGUUCGACAGGAUUUGGGAAAUCUUUGAACGCAUGUCGUGAUAGGGAUAGAUCAUUGCAAUUAUUGAUCUUGAACGAGGAAUUCCUAGUAAACGCGAGUCAUCAGCCCGCAUUGAUUACGUCCCUGCCCUUUGUACACACCGCCCGUCGCACCUACCGAUUGAAUGUUUCGGUGAAGAUUCCGGAUAGGACUUUUUUGAUUUAUUUCAAUUUUGUCUUAAAAGCUAUCUAAACCUCAACAUUUAGAGGAAGGUGAAGUCGUAACA
rnacentral:rRNA from 1 species